UACGUAGGUGGCAAGCGUUGUCCGGAUUUACUGGGCGUAAAGGGCGUGCAGGCGGUUUGUUAAGUGCAGGGUGAAAGCUCCCGGCUCAACUGGGAGAGGUCCUUGCAUACUGGCAAACUCGAGGGAGGCAGAGGAAAGUGGAAUUCCCGGUGUAGUGGUGAUAUGCGUAGAUAGUCGGGAGGAACACCUGUGGCGAAGGCGGCUUUCGUGGGUCCUUACCGUGAC
rnacentral:rRNA from 1 species